UAGCAGGCAUAAUUCAUGAUUCCCUGCUAAGUUAACCCAAAAUUAGUUUCCAUCAUCGUCAUCAAACAUCAAAAUCAUCAUCCAUUAGUAAACUCUCACUUUCCCAGUUUCACACCUCUUUCCCAGAAUCCUAUUACUGCUUACCAUUUCUUGAUUUUCUUCUCCCACUACUCUUUUUUGGGAUUCUACUUCUGCUACCUUCACUACCAGUACAAUCUACUAUUACUGGGUCUUUCUUCAAUUGCUCAGAGUCCAACCCAAAAUUAACCAGAAGGAAAAAACGAAAAAAGGAGUGGUUUGAAAGAGCGCUUGAUUUUUUUUCAGGACCCACAUGGGAGAGGAUUCCAAUCCGUAAAUUUUGUGUUUGUGGAGUUAUCAUCCGGUCUGAUCUGGAUUAUAGGAGGAGAGAGUAAAGAUGUCAAGACCAAUGUUGCUUGUGUUUCUGUUGCUUAUUUUGAUAAUUACAUCCCAAUUUGAAUGGAGAGAACAAGUAAAGAGUGAGGUUGAGUUGAGUCCAAAUAUAUCGCAGAAGCAGCAGCAGAUUUCAAAAAGGGAAGAAGCUGUAAAAGAGAAGAUUAUCUUAUCUCAGGAGAAGAGCAUUCAGAAACUUAAUGAGCUUGUGAGAAGUCUUAGGGAACAACUGCGACAGUGCACGAGUACUAAUGAGACUACAAAUGGCAGUCUAAGUUCAUUGAAUGAGAAUGUUAUUGAAUUUGACUGACACACGAUUCUGGAGGAUUAGGCACUGGCUUCUGAAGAAUAUCAGCAUGUAUUAUUUGUGCAAUAGUUAUUGAAAUCUGUUUCUGUUUCCCCACUAAUUUUUACACUUGCAAACUCUGUCAUGAUAAUCAAACAUGUGGUCUCAUCUCUAACUGUUCUUUGUUGAUAAUUGCAGUAGGUCAUUAGCUAUUUAAGUGUAAUGGAUUGCACCAUCAAGAUGGCAUCAUCUUUGUCCUUGCGAAAUUUCCUAUUCGCUUUGACAGCAAACCCUGAAUCAUCAGAACAAAUUAGGUACUUUAGAAUGCACGAACAUGAGAUCGGUGAUUCUUUCAAGACUGUUGGAUGCAUCACUCUUGUUUUGUGGGCAAAUUAGGAAGUUAUGUUUUGUAAUUGCUACAUGAGGAUGGAAUGUGAGAGGAAGAACUUCAAAUU